rnacentral:misc_RNA from 1 species
UGGCUCUGGCAUNGAUGAAGAACGCAGCGAAAUGCGAUAACUAGUGUGAAUAGCAGACUUCAGUGAAUCAUCGAAUCUUUGAACGCACAUUGCGCCCUCUGGUAUUCCGGGGGGCAUGCCCGUUCGAGCGUCAUUACACCCCUCAAGCCUAGCUUGGUAUUGGAGGCUUUAGCAGCUUCAUUGACUGCUCCUCUUGAAAUUGUCGGUCGAUAGUGAUUAGACAGUAACCACGGUUAUUCAAACUUUCUCGUUGGUAAACUUCUUCGCAAUCGUUUCCGUUAAACAUCUUACAAAAGGUUGACCUCGAAUCGGGUAGGAAUACCCGCUGA